UCGCUCAACGCAGACAUGACAUAUUCUGUGUGCUCCAACAUCACGUGCUCCAACAUCACGUGCUCCAUCUCUCAUCACCAUUAGAGUCUGUAUCAGCCACCAUGAAAGAAGGGCCAUCACACCAUUUGAAAAGAGAGAUUAAAGCUCAUCAGACACGUUUUGGAAGAGCAGAAGAACGAUCGAUCAAAAUUGAGUAUUUCGAAUCCAACUUUUGAGUUAUGGACAUUUCUUUGGGGCUACUCGUUGUAGAUCGGAUCCGCCGAUAGUCAACUUCAUCGGUGUUUUCCCGUUGAUCUAGAAGGAACCAGCAAACGAGCGAGAUAUCAUCAGAAAGAUCUCGUUGUCAGCUUUCCAUAUCAUCUUCCCGAUCGUAAAACCAAGGCACGGUUGGAAAGUUAUCGACGUUGCCUCUUGGCCAAGGAUAAGCUGAAGCUUUAGUGAUGCAGAUACAGUUCCGACCAGUCUCAGCGUAAAGGCCAAACGGCCGACCUAAAUGAAAGCUUUCAAUCUGGAAAUUUGUCAUAUUACUGCAGUCUUCGUUUGCGACCAGCCUGGAGGUGAAGCUAAUUUGGUUAAUCAAAUGGUGUCCGAUCGGAGUGAACUCGGUGUCUAUGAACAGAGGACAUAUAGGACUACAUUAUGACCGGACGGAUUGAAAAGUUAACGGUCAGUUCUUGAGAUAUCCAUCUGUUUUCUCUAGAGUUCAGUCCUGCCAGAAUUAUCAUAUCCA